rnacentral:rRNA from 1 species
CAGUAGCCACGGUAAUACGGAGGGUGCAAGCGUUAUCCGUAUUUAUUGGGUUUAAAGGGUCCGUAGGCGGAUCUGUAAGUCAGUGGUGAAAUCUCACAGCUUAACUGUGAAACUGCCAUUGAUACUGCAGGUCUUGAGUAAAUUUGAAGUGGCUGGAAUAAGUAGUGUAGCGGUAAAAUGCAUAGAUAUUACUUAGAACACCAAUUGCGAAGGCAGGUCACUAAGAUUUAACUGACGCUGAUGGACGAAAGCGUGGGGAGCGAACAGGAUUAGAUACCCCCGUAGUCCCUGUCUCUUAUAC